UGACCCUCUCUUCCAUACGAUUCCUCGGUCUUCUACCCGUGCGUCACUUGAUGCGGUCGCCUCAAGUGAAUGACGAGGUGUGCGGGCUCUCUCUUCCAAACGGUUCCUCGUCCUUCCUCCUCUUUCCCAAACUCUCAAGCCGCCAUCGUUGCUAUUCGUCUUCUUUUUCACUCUUUCUUUGCCUUUCCUCUUCAUUCGCUUGGGAUUUCCCUUCUCGAUUCCGGCCUCAAGAACUCCUGCGAGCGAAAGAUCUUUCUUGUUUCUGUUGUUUUCGUCAUUUCCCUGUUUCUGGUGCCAAUUUAGAUCAAAGCUUAUCGUUGGGUUUCCUUCGGGUUCUGUUGGACGUCUCUCCCUCUUUUCUUGUCCUUUUAGGACAGAUUUUUUUUUGUGUUUUUGUUUCAUCUUCUCUUCUCUUUAGGUUCUUUUUUGCUUCCCUUUGAAUCUUGAGGGUUUUCUUGGACCCCAAACUGGCUCUUCCGUCAACAGGAUCUGGAUACACGGAACGAGAGUUCAGUGGCACUCUCCCAUGCUACCUCCUAAAGCAAUUCUCUCAAGCCACCACAUCGUCCAAGAUCAGGAUGUGGAGGAUUGGGAUCGUCCAGACGACUCCGACGAUGUCGUUUUUUACUUCUGGAUAAGUUGGAAUCAAGGGCGUCGGUUUUUCCCUGUUUCAUUUUAUAUGUUCUAGUUCUGUUAUGCUUAUUUAUCAUCACGGGGAUGUAGCUCAGGUGGUAGAGCGCUCGCUUAGCAUGCGAGAGUAUGUUGUAGAGGACCCCAUCGAUGGCCGGACUAUUGGGAGGAGACAGGCGACACCGCUCUGCUAGCUAGCUCCGCUAUCUGCUGCCCCGACAAGGCCGCGUCAGUGUAGCUUAAGUGGAGGAGACGGGUCCGGCAACAGCCGCGGCGUGGGAGAUGCGUCUGCAGCUUGCAGAGGGGAUGUUGGGCAUUUGGGUUUGAGCGUGACCAUUGGCAGGCAUGAGGAAGGAAGAGACAAUCCGAGGAUUUCACUUUGGUCGGUUGGCCGAGAGAGAGUUGCGCAAUAAUUUAACGGUGCUUUUUAUCCUUGUACGAAUCCUUAUAGUUUCCGUUCCCUGAGCUUUAAUUAUUUCUCUUCAAAACGUUUACUGCUUUGGGGUCAA